CGGGAAACCGGAGCUAAUACCGGAUAAUAUUUCGAACCGCAUGGUUCGAUAGUGAAAGAUGGUUUUGCUAUCACUUAUAGAUGGACCUGCGCCGUAUUAGCUAGUUGGUAAGGUAACGGCUUACCAAGGCGACGAUACGUAGCCGACCUGAGAGGGUGAUCGGCCACACUGGAACUGAGACACGGUCCAGACUCCUACGGGAGGCAGCAGUG
rnacentral:rRNA from 1 species